rnacentral:rRNA from 1 species
GACGAACGCUGGCGGCGCGCUUAACACAUGCAAGUCGAACGGAAAGGCCUGCUUUCCCUUGUGGAUUGCGGGUACUCGAGUGGCGAACGGGUGAGUAACACGUGAGUGAUCUGCCCCCAACUUGGGUAUAAGCCUGGGAAACUGGGUCUAAUUCCCGAUAGGACUGCAGGGUGGUGCCUGUGGUGGAAAACGAUUUUCUAGUGGUUGGGGAUGAGCUCGCGGCCUAUCAGCUUGUUGGUGGGGUAAUGGCCUACCAAGGCGGCGACGGGUAGCCGGCCUGAGAGGGUGGACGGCCACAUUGGGACUGAGAUACGGCCCAGACUCCUACGGGAGGCAGCAGUGGGGAAUAUUGCACAAUGGGCGGAAGCCUGAUGCAGCGACGCCGCGUGGGGGAUGACGGCCUUCGGGUUGUAAACUCCUUUGGACCGCGAGGAAGCCACCUGGUUGGAAGGGUGGUGACGGUAGUGGUAGAAGAAGCACCGGCUAACUACGUG